CACGUAAAUGGCUUUGUAAGUCGGAUGUGAAAUCCCCGGGCUCAACCUGGGAACUGCAUUCGAAACUGCAUUGCUCGAAUGUGGAAGAGGGAAGCGGAAUUCCAGGUGUAGCGGUGAAAUGCGUAGAUAUCUGGAGGAACAUCAGUGGCGAAGGCGGCUUCCUGGUCCAACAUUGACAUUCAGGUGCGAAAGCGUGGGGAGCAAACAGGAUUAGAUACCCUGGUAGUCCACGCCAUAAACGAUGAGAACUAGAUGUCGGGAGGGUUAGCCUUCCGGUGUCGCAGCUAACGCGUUAAGUUCUCCGCCUGGGGAGUACGGCCGCAAGGUUGAA
rnacentral:rRNA from 1 species